rnacentral:tRNA from 1 species
AAGAGAGGUCUGGGACACGAAGAUCUGCUAUUUCUUCUCAUCAUGGUUCAAAUCCAUGGCUCACUUG